rnacentral:ribozyme from 1 species
GAUGAUGUGUGCUCUGUAACAGGGUAGGAUCCGAAUCCUCUCGCAGGUUAACACAGGCUCUCCUACUCAACUCCUAUUCCGACACGUCCUCGUCGUGCAGAGUGUCAUCACACAUCAUCAAUUAAUCCAAGCUUGGAUAUACGAGUUUGUCCCACCCCCUUGGGCGGAUGAUGAUACGUUGCGCGAGAGGAGGGG